rnacentral:rRNA from 2 species
AUACAGAGGGUGCAAGCGUUGCUCGGAUUUAUUGGGCGUAAAGCGCACGCAGACGGUAUGGAAGGUCGGACGUGAAAUCCCUGGGCUCAACCUAGGAACUGCGUUCGAAACCACCAAACUAGAGUUCGGAAGAGGGAGGCGGAAUUCCUGGUGUAGAGGUGAAAUUCGUAGAUAUCAGGAGGAACACCAGCGGCGAAGGCGGCUUCCUGGUCCGAUACUGACGUUCAGGUGCGAAAGCGUGGGUAGCAAACAGGAUUAGAUACCCUGGUAGUCCACGCUGUAAACGAUGAGUGCUAGAUGUUGGGGGUAUUCACUCCCUCGGUAUCGAAGCUAACGCGCUAAGCACUCCGCCUGGGGAGUACGGCCGCAAGGUUGAA